UGGUAACAUUCACAUUAAGAAUAGUGUGGCUACAUAUCGUUAUUUCAGAAAUGUAUCCCACACGGUAAAGCGUGAUAUCGCGUAAGCGAUUUUAGCGCCUCCCGUUUUGUUGUGGGAAGCGCGAACUGAAUUUUAAAUUUCAACAAUGUGACAAUGAAUGAAGGAGAGACCCAUGCAGGUCAGCAGAAGGCAGUUCUUUAAG
rnacentral:sRNA from 1 species